GACGAACGCUGGCGGCGUGCUUAACACAUGCAAGUCGAACGGAAAGGCCCUGCUUUUGUGGGGUGCUCGAGUGGCGAACGGGUGAGUAACACGGGAGUAACCUGCCCUGGACUUUGGGAUAACUUCAGGAAACUGGGGCUAAUACCGGAUAGGAGCUCCUGCUGCAUGGUGGGGGUUGGAAAGUUUCGGCGGUUGGGGAUGGACUCGCGGCUUAUCAGCUUGUGGGUGGGGUAGUGGCUUACCAAGGCUUUGACGGGUAGCCGGCCUGAGAGGGUGACCGGCCACAUUGGGACUGCGAUACGGCCCAGACUCCUACGGGAGGCAGCAGUGGGGAAUAUUGCACAAUGGGCGGAAGCCUGAUGCAGCAACGCCGCGUGCGGGAUGACGGCCUUCGGGUUGUAAACCGCUUUCGCCUGUGACGAAGCGUGAGUGACGGUAAUGGGUAAAGAAGCACCGGCUAACUACGUG
rnacentral:rRNA from 1 species